GACGAACCGUGCGAACGUUGUUCGGAAUCACUUGGGCUUAAAGGGCGCGUAGGCGGGCUGCGGCGUCCGGGGUGAAAUCCUCCGCUCAACGGGAGAACGGCUCGGAUACGGGCGGCCUCGAGGGGAGGUAGGGGCAUCGGGAACUGUGAGUGGACGCGGUGAAAUGCGUUUGAUUAUUCAACAGGAACUCCCGGUGGCGAAGGCGCGGGUGCCUGGACCUCAUCUGACGUGAGGCGCGAAAGCCAGGGGAGCGAAACGGGAUU
rnacentral:rRNA from 1 species